UACGGAAUGUGCAAACGUUAUUCGGAAUCACUGGGCUUAAAGAGUCCGUAGGCGGCAUGUCACGUCGGGUGUGAAAGCCCGGGGCUUAACCCCGGGUCUGCAUUCGAUACGGGCUAGCUAGAGUGUGGUAGGGGAGAUCGGAAUUCCUGGUGUAGCGGUGAAAUGCGCAGAUAUCAGGAGGAACACCGGUGGCGAAGGCGGAUCUCUGGGCCAUUACUGACGCUGAGGAGCGAAAGCGUGGGGAGCGAACAGG
rnacentral:rRNA from 1 species